rnacentral:rRNA from 1 species
UUCGGAGGGGGCAACCGUUGUUCGGAAUUACUGGGCGUAACGGGCGCGUAGGCGGCCAGUUGCGUCGGGUGUGAAAGCCCCGGGCUCAACCUGGGAGGUGCACUUGAUACGGGCUGGCUGGAAUCCGGGAGAGGAUGGUGGAAUUCCCAGUGUAGAGGUGAAAUUCGUAGAUAUUGGGAAGAACACCGAUGGCGAAGGCAGCCAUCUGGACCGGGAUUGACGCUGAGGCGCGAAAGCGUGGGGAGCAAACAGG